AGCGCAGGCGGCUUGAUAAGUCUAAAGUGAAAACCCAGGGCUCAACUCUGGACCUGCUUUGGAUACUGUUAAGCUUGAGUACGUGAGAGGAGAUUGGAAUUCCAGGUGUAGCGGUGAAAUGCGUAGAUAUCUGGAGGAACACCGGUGGCGAAAGCGGAUCUCUGGCACGUUACUGACGCUGAGGCUCGAAAGCGUGGGGAGCAAACGGGAUUAGAUACCCCGGUAGUCCACGCCGUAAACGUUGUGCGCUAGGUGUAGGAGGUAUCGACCCCUUCUGUGCCGCAGCUAACGCAUUAAGCGCACCGCCUGGGGAGUACGGUCGCAAGACUGAA
rnacentral:rRNA from 1 species